AGUGAACGCUGGCGGCAGGCCUAACACAUGCAAGUCGAGCGGCAGCGCGUCCGACCACCCUCGGGUGGUCGGAUGGCGGCGAGCGGCGGACGGGUGAGGAAUGCAUCGGAAUCUGCCUCGUUGUGGGGGAUAACGUAGGGAAACUUACGCUAAUACCGGCAUACGACCUACGGGUGAAAGUGGGGGACCUUCGGGCCUCACGCGAUGAGAUGAGCCCGAUGCCGGAUUAGCUAGUUGCGGGGUAAAGGCCCACCAAGGCGACGAUCCGUAGCUGGUCUGAGAGGAUGAUCAGCCACACUGGAACUGAGACACGGUCCAGACUCACGGAGGCAGCAGUGGGGAAUAUUGGACAAUGGGGGCAACCCUGAUCCAGCCA
rnacentral:rRNA from 1 species